GUUUGCCUUAGUGGUGACAAGCUCAGCCACUUCUUAUUUUGUGCUUCAUUUUUGAACUCAAGUAAUGCAUUUUUGUUCCCUCGCAGAUUUCUACCUGAGGCUUUGUUUACCUUGCUGAGUUCCGGCUUUGUUUCCAGAGUUUCUCUGAGCUUCUGGAUUAUUAACUACUGAGUUAAGGAUCUACCUUCUUGUGGAUUUCUCUCUCAUCCGUCUGAACCGUUCAGACAUGGACCAAGCUGGCGGCUUCCUGUUUCCUUCGACUCCAAGACCCAGGCAUCAGCACACCCUGCUUUUUCCCCCUUCUCGAACAUCAGCACCUGAGCUCCCUUUUGCUGACACCAAGUUCACAACAGAAAAGACAACUGGACAAUUCCCUUUCGCAAGUUAAGACUCUGAAUCUCUACCCCUGGCGGUUCUUGCUACAACAAUUUAUUGGUGUUCCCCGUUCCCAUCCUAGAUUACUUUAUUGACAAUAAAAACCAUAAACUUUUC